UACGGAGGGGGCUAGCGUUGUUCGGAAUUACUGGGCGUAAAGCGCGCGUAGGCGGCUUUGUAAGUUAGAGGUGAAAGCCCGGAGCUCAACUCCGGAAUUGCCUUUAAGACUGCAUCGCUAGAACGUCGGAGAGGUAAGUGGAAUUCCGAGUGUAGAGGUGAAAUUCGUAGAUAUUCGGAAGAACACCAGUGGCGAAGGCGACUUACUGGACGACUGUUGACGCUGAGGUGCGAAAGCGUGGGGAGCAAACAGG
rnacentral:rRNA from 1 species